rnacentral:rRNA from 1 species
AUGGCGGCCACCAAGAAGAGGGAGAUGGUGUUCUUCGACGUGGAGGCGGCGCCGUCGUCCGGCGAGUGCCGCCUGCUGGAGUUCGCCGCCAUCCUCGUCUGCCCGCGCCGCCUCGUCGAGGUCUCCAGCUACUCCACCCUCAUCCGCCCGGACAACGCUGCCGCCGACGGCAGCAGCCUCCCCUCCUCGACCCCCUCGUUCGAGGACGUCUUCCCGGACAUCUUCGAGCUGCUGGACGGCCGGGUGUGGGCGGGCCACGGCAUCCGGCGCGCCGGCUGCCCGCGCGUGCGCGAGGCCUUCGCCGCCUUCGGCCUGCCCGCGCCGGAGCCCGUCGGCGUCGUCGACUCCCUCGACGUGCUCCUCGCGCAGGGCGCGCAGGGGUGCUUCGCGCGGGCCGGCGCCGGGGACGACGGCCAGGAGGAGGACGAGGAGGCGGCGGCGGCGGCCCUGGCGGAGCACUUCGGGAUCGGCGCGCGGCGCGCGCGCGGGCUCCGGUGCCUCGACGGCGCGCGCGUGAGCCUCGAGGUGCUCAAGCACUGCGCCGGCGUGCUGCUCCUCGAGGCCAGCCUCCGCGGCGACGUCCCCGCCGGCGCCAGGGGCAGGAGCAAGCCGGCGGCGACUCCUGCUAAGCCCGAAGGCAACAACAACACGUUGGAGAAGGCGUUUGCCCUCGCGGCGGCCAAAUCGACGACACCGGCGAAGGCGGCCACGGCCCCUCCUCCUCCGUCUCCUGCUGCUUCUACUUCUCCGGCGGCUGUCCAGAACGUGAAGACGAGCACGGGGAAGAGGGACAGCACGGGGAAGGUGGUUGUGGUAGCGAAGAAGGGAGCGACGGCGGCGACCGUGACGACGACGACGGCUACCGGGGGUCGCCGUGUGCGGCCGCCGGCGCCACCGUUCAGCAUGGUCCUCAGGCACUCAAGGGCCGUCAUCAGAUGA